AAAGUAAGCUGGCUUGUCGCUUUGGUGCUUAAUAGGAAGAGAAUGAUCGAAUAGCAUGUUGCGUGCAGCAUGUUUUCCUUAUUAAGGAAGCGGUCAGCUAUCCGUUUGGGUUAGCCGAAGAGGAAAGUCCGGGCAAUAGAGAGCGCCCUACUUCCUAACGGGAAGGCAUGGGGUAAUUGUAGCCCUGUGACAGCAAGUGCCACAGAAAAUAAACCGCUUGUUACAUUAGCUAAUGAUGUAGCAAGUAAGGGUGAAAAGGUGCGGUAAGAGCGCACCGCUCUAUUGGUGACAGUAGAGGCAUGGGUAAACCUUAGGAAUUGCAAGGCCAAGUAGGCAUGCCCCUACUUGCGUACGUAAGUAGGACGGGCUGCUCGUCCGUUUUUCUUUUAUUAGAAAGGGUAUGUGGGUAGGCUGCUAGAGGGUCUAAGUGAUUAGGCCCCCAGAUAAAUGACAAGCAAGUGUAUCUGUUUUGCACUACAGAACCCGGCUUAUAGGCUUACUUUUCUU
rnacentral:RNase_P_RNA from 1 species